rnacentral:rRNA from 1 species
CCGCAUAAUGUCUUCGGACCAAACGGGGCUUCGGCUCCGGCGCAAAGAGAGGCCCAAGUGAGAUUAGCUAGUUGGUAAGGUAACGGCUUACCAAGGCGACGAUCUCUAGCUGUUCUGAGAGGAAGAUCAGCCACACUGGGACUGAGACACGGCCCAGACUCCUACGGGAGGCAGCAGUGGGGAAUAUUGCACAAUGGGGGAAACCCUGAUGCAGCCAUGCCGCGUGUGUGAAGAAGGCCUUCGGGUUGUAAAGCACUUUCAGUUGUGAGGAAAAGUUAGUAGUUAAUACCUGCUAGCCGUGACGUUAACAACAGAAGAAGCACCGGCUAACUCCGUGCCAGCAGCCGCGGUAAUACGGAGGGUGCGAGCGUUAAUCGGAAUUACUGGGCGUAAAGCGCACGCAGGCGGUUUGUUAAGCUAGAUGUGAAAGCCCCGGGCUCAACCUGGGAUGGUCAUUUAGAACUGGCAGACUAGAGUCUUGGAGAGGGGAGUGGAAUUCCAGGUGUAGCGGUGAAAUGCGUAGAUAUCUGGAGGAACAUCAGUGGCGAAGGCGACUCCCUGGCCAAAGACUGACGCUCAUGUGCGAAAGUGUGGGUAGCGAACAGGAUUAGAUACCCUGGUAGUCCACACCGUAAACGCUGUCUACUAGCUGUGUGUGUCUUUAANANGUGCGUAGCGAAGCUAACGCGCUAAGUANACCGNCUGGGGAGUANNGCCGCAAGNNUAAAACUCAAAUGAAUUGACGGGGGCCCGCACAAGCGG